UACGUAGGGACCGAGCGUUGUCCGGAAUCAUUGGGCGUAAAGAGCGUGUAGGCGGCCCGGUAAGUCCGCUGUAAAAGUCAAAGGCUCAACCUUUGAAUGUCAGUGGAUACUGCCGGGCUAGAGUCCGGAAGAGGCGAGUGGAACUCCUGGUGUAGCGGUGGAAUGCGCAGAUAUCAGGAAGAACACCAACGGCGAAGGCAGCUCGCUAGGACGGUACUGACGCUGAGACGCGAAAGCGUGGGGAGCGAACAGG
rnacentral:rRNA from 1 species